AUUCCACCAUUUUUCUUCCUCUCAUUUUACUGAUUUUGAAGGUAAACCUCAAACAAAAAGAAGGUUUGUUGGUUUUCAAGUGCAAAUUCUAGAUCAAUCCACACUCCAAUUUUUGCUGAAUUUGUGUUCUACAAAGAUAGGGGAUUUCUUCUCUCGGAUUCAAUUUUCAGUACCAACUCUUUCUGCCCUAAUUAAAUUCAGAUAUGUUUUUAUCUCAUUUUUGUUGUUGAUGUCUUCUUAAUUUCUAUAUCUUGGUAAUUUGAAAUAUUUUCAAAUAUUGUAUCAUUCAUGAAACCAGUAACUAUUUGUGGUGUUUUGUUAGCCAAAGAUUUAACUACACUUACCCCAGAUUUUCUUCGAAUUACCUACCCUUCUUGGUGCUUUUUACCAACAUGCUUAAUUAAUUUGUUUUCUCCAAUUGACCACUGUUUUGAUGAAUUCGUACAACAAACAAUUUGGUUUCAAAUCAUAUGUACAUGUGCUUAAAUCUUAGUGUACUGCAUAUAAUUUCAAAUGUUACAAGUACUUUAGAAAAUCAAAAGGGUUAUGCAGGCACAAAAGUUUUGAUUUCAAUCAAAAUUAAGGUCUUUUAGUUAGUUUCUAAACUUGCCUGCCAACCGUUUGUGAAAAUGGCUCAGUGAGCAACAUUUUUAAUCAACCAGCGAAACAUGAACUUUUAUGGGCUGAUAUUGCUUUUAUAUUUAAACUCCUUACAUUUCUGUUAAAUUAACAUUUAAAACUUCUUUGACCCGUAAGCUCUUUACGUACGUUAUCAUUUUUUCGACCCAUCCGACACCCAAUAAAAAUUGAAAUCAUUUUCCAUAGGUUUAGUAUUUUAUUACCUUCCCUUCCUUGUCAACACAAGCAUUCCAACUUAAUUAUUUUUCUUACUAUGCCAUCUUGAAAGCUUUACGGGUCUAAGUAUAGACCCUCAACCAAAAACGUACUGCUUCAUUUAUAAAACACCAUUGUUUUAUGCUUUUGUUAUGUGUACAUUCACUUUCCUUUUUCAUUAAAUUUCUGAGCACUUGGUAUUAGAUUUAUGGGAUGAUUCAUCGUAGAAGUAGAUGAAUUACUUUCUUUUCUGAAAUAUGUAUUGGCUGAAAUGUGUAUUGUGAGAGUUUCCUUCUUGUGAACAGGUCUAAUAGUCUAGACGACUCUACUUUAGGAAUGUCAGGCCCACUGGGCCCACCCCAUUACGAGUGGCAACCCGGAAGAUCGUUAGCUGUAACGGUUGCUGGUAACCAGAACUAACCUGACAUCGGCACUGGCCAAAAGAUUAGUAGAAAUACUAAAGGAACUCGAAGUAGUGAGCUAGAUCGAACUUAUGGAAAGCUUGGAAACUUAGAAGCGUUAGUAUUUUAUAGGUUUAGGUGAACUAUAGGUUUAGUUGCUUGGUCUCAACUUUACGAAGUUGGUUUGAUUUUGUAUAGCAGCUUAAUUCUGAGAGUAUUCAAAUUCUGGACUA